rnacentral:rRNA from 1 species
AUUGAACGCUGGCGGCAGGCCUAACACAUGCAAGUCGAGCGGCAGAACAGAGCUUGCUCCUGGUUUCAGCUGCGGACGGGUGGGUGAUGCAUAGGAAUCUGCCUGGUAGUGGGGGAUAAGGUCCGAACGCAGGCGCUAAUACCGCAUAAGUCCUGACGGCGAACGGGGGGAAUCUUCGGACCUCACGCUCUCAGAUGAGCCUAGGUCGGAUUAGCUAGUUGGUGGGGUAAAGGCCUACCAAGGCGACGAUCCGUAACUGGUCUGAGAGGAUGAUCAGCCACACUGGAACUGAGACACGGUCCAGACUCCUACGGGAGGCAGCAGUGGGGAAUAUUGGACAAUGGGCGAAAGCCUGAUCCAGCCAUGCCGCGUGGGUGAAGAAGGUCUUCGGAUUGUAAAGCACUUUAAGUGGGGAGGAAGAGCAGUAAGUUAAUACCUUGCUGUUUUGACGGUACCAACAGAAUAAGCACCGGCUAACUUCGUG